rnacentral:miRNA from 1 species
UUUGGGAGGCUGAGGUAGGAAGAUUGCUUGAGCCCAGGAAUUUGAGAUCAGCCUGGGCAACAUAGUGAGACCUCAUCUCUACAAAAA